GCGGGGCCCGCCGCGCGCCUGGGGGGCCGCGCGCUCCGGCCGCCGCGCGCCCGGGAGAGCGAGCGUCGCGCGCGCACGCCCGACACAGAGCUUUACUAUCUGGCUCCCCUCUCGCCUCCCUCCUCGCCGGGCAUUCACACGGCUCUCCGACAUCACCAGCAUCCCCAGCCAAGGCUCUUUUUUUUUCUACCCCGCUCCUCUUAUCAGUACCUGCGGGCUGGGGGGCGGGGGGAGACGGAGGGGCGGGAGGAGAACGGGAAGAGGGGAAGGCAGGAGCCCCAGCCUCCCGAGGCGGCCGCGGGCGCCCGCGGAGUGAACCCGCCGCCCCGGCGCAUCGGCCGCGCCGCCGCCUCUGCUCGGCGCGCUUCCUGGCCGAUUGCUUUGCUGGGGGCGGGGGGAGGGGGGGGCAGGUCUGGAAAAACAGCUCCAGUGGCUAUGAAGCCACUUCCUUUUUUUUUUUUUUAAUUCCUUAGCGUCUGUCUUCGGGGGGCUCUCCCCGCUCCCGCCGGCGCCUCGGUGGGAGGUUGGAUUCACUUGGCUACGGCGUAGGCUCCGGGUUCCUGGGGGGCUUUUAUUCCUCCAGCCCUCCCCUCUUUGAUUCUCUCUCCCCCCACCCCCGAUCCCCGCGUUCUUUUACUUCUCUUAUGUGCGCGUUAAAAAAAAAAAAAUCCAUCCUGAUUUUCUAAGCUCAGCCGGGGAAAGAUGGGCUCCGGGGCUCGGGACCGAAGGGGCGUCUCUCCGUCGUUGUUGCUGGGACGCGUGUCUGCGCUGCUGCCUUAGGCGCCCCGAGCGUUCCGAGAGGAAGAACAGUGGAAGAGACUGCAGCCUAAAGACUUUUAAAAUUAACUUGGCAUCACUUUUCUCAGCUCAAAGGCUAAGCAAAAAAGCAGUGUCAUUUAUUCUAAGAAAUAACUUCUUAAAGGUUAAAGCUGAAAAAGAUUCAAGUUACUUUUGGAUAACAACUUACAGAGGCCAAAUGACAUAGGAUGAAGGCUGUUCGUAACCUGCUGAUUUAUAUAUUUUCCACCUAUCUCCUGGUUAUGUUUGGAUUUAAUGCUGCCCAAGACUUCUGGUGUUCAACUUUGGUGAAGGGAGUCAUUUAUGGAUCGUAUUCUGUAAGUGAAAUGUUUCCCAAAAACUUUACAAACUGCACUUGGACGCUGGAAAAUCCAGAUCCAACCAAAUAUAGCAUUUACCUGAAAUUUUCCAAAAAGGACCUUAGCUGCUCUAACUUUUCCCUCCUGGCUUAUCAGUUUGAUCAUUUUUCCCAUGAAAAAAUCAAGGAUCUUUUAAGAAAGAAUCAUUCUAUAAUGCAACUCUGCGAAUCCAAGAAUGCUUUCGUUUUUCUACAGUAUGACAAAAAUUUUAUUCAAAUACGUCGGGUCUUUCCAACCGAUUUCCCAGGAUUACAGAAAAAAGGGGAAGAAGAUCAGAAAUCUUUUUUUGAAUUUUUGGUGUUGAACAAGGUGAGCCCGAGCCAGUUUGGUUGUCAUGUGUUAUGCACUUGGUUGGAGAGCUGCUUAAAGUCAGAAAAUGGGAGAACGGAGUCCUGCGGGAUCAUGUAUACAAAGUGCACCUGCCCUCAGCACUUGGGAGAGUGGGGGCUCGACGACCAGGCGCUGGUUUUGUUAAAUAACGUGGUGUUGCCCCUGAAUGAGCAGACUGAGGGCUGCCUGACCCAAGAGCUGCAAACCACCCAGGUCUGCAAUCUUACCAGGGAGGCCAAGCGACCGCCCAAAGAAGUUUGAAGAGAAACAUAUGCAAAGUCUUUCCAAGAAAGAGGAAGAAUAUUUGGAUGUCAUUUCGAGCUUCUGUUACUUAUUCCUAAUUAUGAUCUAUAUGUAUAGUAAUAGUAGAAUACUACUAAAAUUUUAGGCCUGGCCAAGUAACAGGCCCUAAUUUUUACUUUUGCCAUUUCAGAAUUUUGUCAAGCAAUUCAGGGACUGACUCAGAUAUGUAGUAUUAAUGAAAACUCCAUUAUAUGGCAACUUUUUUUGGAGGCAGUAAAUUAAAAUAUUAACAGAAAAAUCUGUGUGUACACAUGUGUAUCAUUCCAAUUUUAGUGUUAGUUGCAGAUAAAUGUGCUACACAUUAGUUUUCUUCAAAACUGAGAUGGGAAUUUCAUUUAUUUAGAUUCCAACUUCAUGUAUUCCUAUACUUCAUUUCCUAAUAGAAGUGGUUUUAUUGUUAAACGAAAUACGUUAGUAAAUACAGGGUUCCUUAGAGUCAGUUUGACCUGUGUUACCUACAAAUACAGAUCAAGUCAUCUGGCUCUUGGAUCUGAAAUCAUAGUUUCUUAAAAAAUCAACAUUUGUUACUUUUUUGAAAUACCAUGAGCUGGGUUUGAAUCCACACCUUCACCUGAGAACCUGUUCUGUGUCCCCACUUCCCUUCUUGGGUUGUUAGAAAUGCUUAUCCUUCAGGGUACAGGAGAACAGAAUGUGACAUGUAGUUAAAAAAAAAAAAUUAUCCCAAAACACUAAUGAAAUUAAUGGCUUGGAAUAUUUUAGUUCCUGUCAGCCCUGUGGAAAUUUCUUACCAAUUCAAUUAACUAAUACAGAUCAGAGAGGUGUUCAGUUUUUCUAAGUGUGUCACUGAAUUAAAAUGAAAGGUGUAUUUUGGUAUGAGAUGUCCUUGGGUCCUGAGAGUGACUCAGCCACCUCGUAGCAUCCUGGACAAGGGACAGUACUUCACUGAGCUUGACUGUACUGUAGUGAAGUGCUGAAUUAGAUGAGAUUGCAUAUGGAAGAUGCUUGGUCUAAUCCUCAAGUUUUGCUAGGCCCUCAAUUCAGUUUUUGACACCUCUUUUUUAUUCUUAUCUUUUGGCUAUAAAUGAUAGAAGAUUGAUAAUAACUAAUGAAGUAGAUUACCAUAUAAUUAUUUGAACUUGUUUAGGAAUUUAGGGCAUUUAACAAAGGGUCAUUAGUUGACUGAAUGUCUGUUUUGUAUUAUGUAAAGAAAAGGUCGCAUCUGGAUACCUUUGUGUUGAUGGAGGCAUGACUAAUACAUCAAAUAGAUCAAGCCAGUGAAUGUGAGUCAUCCCAGGGCUGGGAAGCUGUCCUCUGGAUAUCAUUGCUGAUCCUUUUUAAAGUCUGUAAAGUCUAAAUGUAAAUUAAGGAGUUUCCAAGUGUUUUACUCUUUGCUGCAUUAUGCAAAAUUAAAUUCAUGUUUUUAGUUCUGUUUUGAAAAGGAAUUAUCCUGAAGCAAUUAAAUCUAUAUUAAAUCAUUUGGAAAGAAGUAGAACAUUUUUGGAAUUUUUUUCACUGAAUUGUGUUUAGUUGUUAUAGACUAAUGAGCCCUCAGAGUCCUCCAGAGGCUUACAUAUUCAGAUAUUGAAAACACAUUUAAAAAUUUGUUAGAACUCAUUUGAAGAUUCUGAUGUUUUCUUAAAGUUGAAUUACAGAAUGCUAUCUAUAAGACUGCAUAAAAUGCUAAAUGUUCUGUGAUCAAUUAAAUGCUAAAUGCUCUAUUUUCAAUUAUCUUUCAACUGUCAUUCAGGAAUUUUGCUCAUAUGCAGAGAAUGACCUAGCU
ensembl:lincRNA